CAGAGAGCAAAAUGGGGAGAAAGGAAAUCAUUGAAUAUGAUAAAAAAAAUACCCUCAUGAAAUAAGAACAUUCAUGAGUAAAGAAAAACUAAGAAACCAGAACUGAUGGGGCUCUGUGGUGCAAUGGAUAGCGCAUUGGACUUCUAGUGACGAAACUAGAACUGGAUGAAAUAAUAAUAGCCUGAUACAAAACCUCAUAGAAAACACGCAGUCGGGACAUCCAUCUCCGGAAACAUAGGUUACAAAGCAAACUUACUAGAGUACAAAUGCCUCCCCCCAAAGACUCAUUCGUUCGAAGGAUUGGCCCAUAGGAAGUGGCACUAUUAAAAAGUAUGGCCUCGUUGGAGUAGGUGUGGCUUUGUUGGAGGAAGUGUGGGCUUUGAG
rnacentral:lncRNA from 1 species